UAGAUCAAUAUGGAAGGCGGGCGAGUUGUACAAUAUAACUGCACGAGUAUAUUUUACUCGUGUGAUAUAGCCCUGAGAAUCGCUCAAGUUUAUAGCGUAGUAUAGUACGCCAAUACUAUAUAGUUUAGUGUGAACAUGUCCAUUAAAACGAAUUCUGAGCUAAGUACCUACAUAUAUACAAAAUAUUUUGGUAUAAUAUGCUAUACAGUAUGGCUAUAUUAUAGUCUAAAUUGUGCUUUAAUAACAAACAUUCACAUGUUUAAGGUUUACAGUAAAGAUAUCUGAUAAUCCGUUUUUUUUUAAAUUCGCUAUCAGAUUUCCGUUGAUUAUUCAAAAAGGAAACCAUACCUCUAACAAAUCUAUACAACAUAAAAAAAUUAAUAAAAUCAAAAAGUGAUUUGAUAAAUUCCUGCCUUUCUUUUUGAAGUCGGCUGCCAUUAAAAAUAUUAUUAUAGUGCGUACCUACCUAGUCUGAUAUUACAAUGAUAUCUAAUAUCCAAAAUUGUAAAUAGUAAUUAUUGUUGUACCUACCAACUAAUUCCUUUAGGUAGUUUGCUUUGUUUGUCGAUUUUAGAUUCUUACGCUAUACCUAUUUAUUGUUGUCGAUACUACGGUACUACGGUACCUACCCACUACCUAUCUAAUAGGUAUUUUAUGAAAUCGUUAAUUUCAGAAAAAUUUAUACUGUCAGUAGAUUAUAAUUGUUAAUUUCGUAGUAAAUCAAACGUCAUGACCCAUUACGAAAAUAAAUUAAAUUAAUUUUAUUUUAAUGUGAAUUAAAUUAAUUUCCCAUAGCUAUUAUACUGUCUAAAGCUGGAGACACAUUGCUGUGUUCUGGUGUCGCAACGAAGUCUGGCAAGACAAUCGAUCGUCAGCAUGUCAGUGCGCCACGACAAACGCGCACGUUCAUAAUAAUAUUAUAUGCCGUGCUAACGAAAAAGGCGGUUUUUUGACAUUUUGCUAAAACUACGUUAAAGACUAAUCCUGCAUCCUGGAAAAGGAGCUCUGUCUACGUAUGUUACACCUUUUUUUGUGUUUCCAUUUUCGCGAUCGUAAGGAUCGGCGCAAAUCGGCAGGCGGGACGGCAAAGGAUUUUAAAUCUAUCAAUGCAUAUUUUUAUACCUAUUAAAUCGUAAUUUAAUAUUUCAAUGCUCGGAGACCCCAGUGAAAAAUCCGCUGAGAUACUCCAAGGUCUUUGUCAAGGUCAAGGGCAUUGAAAAAUUAAUUAUUUCGAUUGGAUAAGUAUGAAAUAUGAGCUUAUAUUAGGAAAUCCUGUGCCGUCCCGCCCACCAAUUUGCGCUGGCCCUAACGAUCUUUCUGCUUUUUUCAUUAGCACGGCAGAUAUUAUGUCUUCAUACAAGUAAGACUCCGAUGGCUUGUCGCGUCAAGACACGCAAGAGCACAGUAAGUAAUCUGUUACCGCCUUUUAUUCAAAACAACUGUUUACUUCUAAGCACUAUUUCAUAUCCUUGUAAAAUUAUCCACGCCUAUCACAACUCACUCGGCCAUACACUGUUCUUUAAUCAAAUUAAAUAGUUGUUAACGUAUGAUAGA